GAUGAAGAACGUAGCGAAAUGCGAUAAGUAGUGUGAAUUGCAGAAUUCAGCGAAUCAUCGAAUCUUUGAACGCACAUUGCGCCCCCUGGCAUUCCGGGGGGCAUGCCUGUCCGAGCGUCAUUGCUGCCCUUCAAGCCCGGCUUGUGUGUUGGGUCGUCGUCCCCCCCGGGGGACGGGCCCGAAAGGCAGCGGCGGCACCGCGUCCGGUCCUCGAGCGUAUGGGGCUUUGUCACCCGCUCGAUUAGGGCCGGCCGGGCGCCAGCCGGCGUCUCCAACCUUCUAUUUUACCAGGUUGACCUCGGAUCAGGUAGGGAUACCCGCUGAACUUAAGCAUAUCAAUAAGCGGAGGA
rnacentral:misc_RNA from 1 species